GACGAACGCUGGCGGCGUGCCUAAUACAUGCAAGUUGAGCGCUGAAGGUUGGUACUUGUACCAACUGGAUGAGCAGCGAACGGGUGAGUAACGCGUGGGGAAUCUGCCUUUGAGCGGGGGACAACAUUUGGAAGCGAAUGCUAAUACCGCAUAAAAACUUUAAACACAAGUUUUAAGUUUGAAAGAUGCAAUUGCAUCACUCAAAGAUGAUCCCGCGUUGUAUUAGCUAGUUGGUGAGGUAAAGGCUCACCAAGGCGAUGAUACAUAGCCGACCUGAGAGGAUGAUCAGCCACAUUGGGACUGAGACACGGCCCAAACUCCUACGGGAGGCAGCAGUAGGGAAUCUUCGGCAAUGGACGAAAGUCUGACCGAGCAAAGCCGCGUGAGUGAAGAAGGUUUUCGGAUCGUAAAACUCGGUUGGUAGAGAAGAACGUUGGUGAGAGUGGAAAGCUCAUCAAGUGACGGUAACUACCCAGAAAGCGACGGCUAACUCCGUG
rnacentral:rRNA from 1 species